rnacentral:snRNA from 1 species
GGAUGUGAGGAGUGAUCUGGCUGUGAUAUCUGUCAUUCCACUGAUCAUCAGAGUUGAUUCAGCUGAUCUGGUGGCUAGGCGGGUGUCUCCUUUCUCCCUCACAGCCCCAUGUGUGUCCCUUCCUAAGCUGUGUGCUUGGUCAAAGAGAAUGACUAUUCCUAAUAGAGAACAGAGGAGACCAUUCUUCAGUCAGCUGUGCUCCCCUGCUAGAAUCUCCAAACAAAUCCUCAAAAAUGUAAAUUGCCACAACCUCUUUGCAAGGAACUUCAAAAUAGGUUCUAAUAGCCUCCAUAUUUCCAAACCUUUCAAAUUCUUUUUAUGGAAAAUAUUU